AUCUAAGUAGUUUAAUUAAAAUAUCGAUUUGUGGAGUCGGUGAUAUAUUUUUUAUAUCUUAGGUU
rnacentral:tRNA from 1 species